UACGGAGGAUCCGAGCGUUAUCCGGAUUUAUUGGGUUUAAAGGGUGCGUAGGCGGGAGAUUAAGUCGGUGGUGAAAUUUUGCAGCUCAACUGUAAAAGUGCCAUUGAUACUGGUUUCCUUGAGUGUGGAUGAAGUAGGCGGAAUUUGUGGUGUAGCGGUGAAAUGCAUAGAUAUCACGAGGAACUCCGGUUGCGCAGGCAGCUUACUAAACUACUACUGACGCUCAGGCACGAAGGCGUGGGGAUCAAACAGGAUUAGAUACCCCCGUAGU
rnacentral:rRNA from 1 species